CCCUUAGAUGUUCUGGGCCGCACACGCGCUACACUGAAGGAGGCAGCGUGUACUCCUGGAUCGAAAGAUUUGGGUAACCCGCGAAUCUCCUUCGUGCUAGGGAUUGAGGUUUGCAAUUAUCCUUCAUGAACGAGGAAUUCCCAGUAAGUGCAAGUCAUAAGCUUGCGCUGACUACGUCCCUGCCCUUUGUACACACCGCCCGUCGCUACUACCGUUUGAAUGAUUUAGUGAGGACUUCGGACUGGGACCGAUGCGGCUUUCGGGCUGCGUCGGUAUUCUGGAAAGAUGUCCAAACUGUAUCAUUUAGAGGAAGUAAAAGUCGUAACA
rnacentral:rRNA from 1 species